GCGGCCCGGGGCUGGGGCCCGGGACACUGAAAAGUUUCCCAGGACCUGGUGACUGCGCGCACUAAUGGCGGGGUUGGAAAAGGUGGCCGUGCCCUUGCCCGGUACCAGGGGAAGACCGUACAUCCUAGUGGCUCGUGCCCCCGGCUACUCUGCUGUCCCAGGCUGUGGCGGGCAGGGCAAGCCCCCAGAGGCUGCUAGACCUUUGUCCUCGCGCCCCACUCCAGGGGACAGAGGCGCUCUUCCCGCUGAGCUACGGGAAGCACUGGCAGCCCUGGCUUCUCGGAACCGCGUCCAUCCUCCGAUGGCGGGUAGCGCGGCCCGCCCCGCCCAGAUUUCGGUUCAGGUCCUCACACAAUGAGGGCAGUGACCCGUGGUCCGGCUCAGGUGGAAAGGUUUGGGACAGGCUGCCGCCAGGUGCGCCCGGAACCUGGGGGUGAGCACCCGAGGGACGGUGCGCUCGGCCAGCAGAACCUGGUUAUUCUGUGGCACCGCCUCGUUACAGAGCGCACCUGUCCGGAUCUGCUCCCCAUAACGCUCAGCCCCAGUCGCUAAUGUGGGGUUUUCCUUCGCAGGUGGAAAGCGUUUGCUCCAGGUGAGACGGGGAGAGAUUCUAGGGAAAAGCGCCUCUCCGCGAAAUCCGCUCUGCGGGCCGUUGCCGGUACUGCGUAGCUGCGGCGCACCCGCCGCCCUCGCCCCGUUUCCCACGCAGCAAGCCCUCCUGUGAGCCCGGCAUUUUGCAGGACAGCCCAGAGCAGGAGUGUAACGUCAGGUGGACAGCCCCACCGUGCCACCGCCCGGGCCGCUGGGCGUCCGGCAGAGCCCACGCCGAGCUCAGUGCGAGUCGGAGCGCGCCGUGGCUCGCCGUGCCCGGCGUCCAUUCCCCUCCGCGCUGUGGCUCCACGUUUCUCCUGCGGAGACCAAUGGAAAACUGUCUUCCAUGAAAACAGUUCCUGGUGCCAAAAAUGUUGGAGACCGCUGUCUAAGAUAUCUCGGAUGGGACUGCAAGGCCAACAGGCCCUGGAGCCUCAGGCCCCACCUGCCUGCCUUAAGAAAUGAAAGGGCUUUUGAGGCUGCUCUAUUACAUCCGUGUGGUGGGAACACGACACUGCGAUGUGCUGACGUGCAUCUCUCUCCAACGUCGCACUCGGUGGCCUCACGCUGGUAGCCUGAAACACGUGCUGUGGUGGGAGUAUUUACACCACAGAGGAUUGUCCAUAUGGAUGGCAGAAGCCUGUGCCUGGGAUUCUCGAACAAUCUGAGACAAGCAGACCUCAGGGAAGAAAUAUUAGGCCUUGCCAGUCUGCGUAUGAGGAUCUGAGUAGCCACCGCUGACAGCUUAAAGAGGAUCCUUCCAGACAUUUCCAAUGCAUAGAAAAAUAGUGAGCUGUUACUCAUGGAGCUGUAUUUCAGACGAUCUCCCAGAGGGUGAAUACAUUGGCUUAGUGGUAUGAAGUAUAAUGACUCUGAUUGAUAAUUAUGGUCUGAUGUCAAAAUAAUAUUUAUAACUAUAAGUGUAUUAGUUUUCUAGGCCUGUUGUAACAAAGUACCACAAACUGAAUGGCUUAAAACAACAGAAAUAUAUUAUCUCACUGUUCUGGGGGCUAGAAGUCUGAGAUGAAGGCACUGACGUGUUCUCUCUGAAACCUGUGGGGAAUCCUUCUGGGUCUCCUCCCACCUUCUGGUGGCUUGCUGGCAACCUUUGUCAUUUUGGAAUAAGGUCACAUUCUGAGGUACUGGAGGUGAGAACUUCAAACAUAUCUUUUUUUGGGGUGGGGGACACAUUACAGUCCAUAACAACAGGUUAGCUUUGUAAACUGAUAAAUUAAGGCUACCAUAUGUAACAAAUACUCAGCAAUCCCUGGAAUUUGGUUCUGCCUUCUCAUGUUUAAGAAAAUCUAUAUGAGCAAUUACUGAGAGAUGUACAGAAACCUGAAUGAACUGAUCUCAGCUAACCAGAAUUCUCAAUUCAUUGAAGAAAUUUUAUUUGCAGUAGCCUUUUCAAAAGAGUGGUCAUUAACAAGAAAAUAAUCAGCUAUCAUGGGAAUAACUUCUUAUUAAAUAUUGAGUAGAUACAAAACAAUAUUUAUAAAUAUGUGUACAGUAAGAAGAAUUCUAAUACAAUGAAUACCUGUGGCCCUACCA